rnacentral:rRNA from 1 species
UCGCGGAUCAGCAUGCCGCGGUGAAUACGUUCCCGGGCCUUGUACACACCGCCCGUCACACCAUGAGAGUCGGAAACACCCGAAGCCUGUAGUCCAACCGCAAGGGGGGCGCAGUCGAAGGUGGGUCUGAUAAUUGGGGUGAAGUCGUAACAAGGUAAC